rnacentral:rRNA from 1 species
UACGGAGGGUGCAAGCGUUAAUCGGAAUCACUGGGCGUAAAGGGCGCGUAGGCGGAUCUUUAAGUCGGGGGUGAAAGCCCAGGGCUCAACCCUGGAAUUGCCUUCGAUACUGGAGAUCUUGAGACCGGAAGAGGUAAGUGGAACUGCGAGUGUAGAGGUGAAAUUCGUAGAUAUUCGCAAGAACACCAGUGGCGAAGGCGGCUUACUGGUCCGGUUCUGACGCUGAGGCGCGAAAGCGUGGGGAGCAAACAGG